AAAAAUCGCCGUUGUAAAUUUCAACUACAGAAAC
rnacentral:tRNA from 2 species